CAGCUACCUUGUGUUGCGUGUUAUCAGUCCGGUUAUGUCUGUGUUGUGUCGGAUGUGUGUAAGGAAUGGUUCCAGGGCAAGGUCGAACAGGAGUGGGGAGAGAGGGCAACCUUGUCUCGUGCCGUUAUGUAUUGUGAAGGCGUCAGUUAACGCCCCGUUGACCAGCACCUGGGCCGUAGGUUCUCGGUACAAUGCCUCUAUCCAGCGUCGCAUGUGUGGCCCCAGUCCUACAUGGGCAAGUGUUUCGAAAAGAUAUGUCCAGCCGACCCUAUCGAAGGCCUUCUCUGCGUCUGUUGACAGCAGGAGAAGGCCCCCUUUCGUACCCUCUUUCCCAUGCAUGAGGGUAAGUGCCCUGAUGGUGUUGUCCCGAGCCUCUCGGCCUGUCACGAAUCCCACCUGGUCUGGGUGGAUCAGUGAUGGGAUGUGUUGUGUGAGUCGAGUCGCCAGAAUUUUGGCCAAUAGUUUAAUGUCGCUAUUUAUAAGUGAGAUCGGUCUGUAGUUUCCGCAUUGUUCCCUGUCUUUGCCUUCUUUGGGGAUAAUAGUGAUGUGGGCUGUUAGGGCUUGUCUGGGGAAAUGGUUUCCGUCUCUUAUCGAAUUGAACGCUUCUAUCAUGAGUGGGUAUAAGUCUUCAGCGUAUGUCUUAUAAUAUUUAGUCGGUAAGCCGUCUGGUCCCGGGCUUUUGCCCGGUUUGGUUUGUUUAACCGCUAGAGCUAGUUCCUCUAUUGUGAUGGGUUCGUCUAUUACCUCUGCUAUCUCCGCGUCGAGUGUCGGUGUCUGGUAUUUUGUCAAGUAGGCUCGGAUAGAGUCUCUGAGGCGUGUCGUCGCCCCGUUGGUCUUCGGUUGGGGGAGCGUGUAGAGAUCAGUGUAGUAUGUGCGGAACGUUCUCAUGAUGGCUGUCGGGAGGCGGUGUAGGGUGCUCUGUUUGUCUCUAAUUUUAUCAAAGUAUGUGUGUUGCCUCUGCUUUUUCAGCAUCGCGGCUAGGAGUUUGCCGCUUUUGUUCCCGUGUACUGUGAAGAAGGCUUUGUGCCUAGUUGCGUCCCUGUGAUGUUUAGCCUGCAAUAGUGUGGCUAGUUCCCGUCUCAGUUGUAGGAGUCGGGUUUGGUGUGUGUGGUUCGGGGUUUGUUUAUUUUGAUUGUCUGUCUCAUGUAUGUUGGUCAGCAGUGCCUGUAGCCGAGCUUCAGCCUGUUUCUUCAGUAUUGCCCCCUGUUGUAUGUAGUGGCCUCUUAUCACGCUUUUGUGUGCUUCCCAUCGAAUCGUCGGGGAUGUUUGCUCUGCUGUGUUAGUUGUCAGGUAGUCCUUGAUUUUUUCACCUAUUAGGGUUGUGACCUCUAGUUUGGUGAGUAGGUAUUCGUUCAAUCUCCAUUUCGAGGUCGUGGGGCGGUAAAGUGGUGAUUUAAGUUUAAGUAAGACUGGGGCGUGGUCUGACCAUGUGGCCACUCCGAUUGUUACUUCGGACACUAGGGAGAGGUCGUAGUGUGUGGUGUAAAUGUGGUCUAUUCGGGAAUAAGAGUUGUGCGGGUGGGAAUAGAAGGUAUAGUUUCUUACGUCUGGGUGGUGGGCUCUCCAGCAGUCCACGAGUCGUCGACUCCGAAGUAGGGAUUUAAUUGUUUGGAGUUGUUGUGUGGGGAUGUGGGAGGUGCCCGAUGAGUUGUCCCAUGAUGGGUCGAGAGUUAUGUUGAAGUCGCCCCCCAGUAUGAGAGUCCCUUCUGCGAAUUCUUGGAGUUUGCGAAGUGUCUGUUUGAGGAAGCGGUAGUGUUGUGUGUUUGGGGCGUAAAUGUUUGCGAAUGUGUACUGGUGUCCUGCG
rnacentral:lncRNA from 1 species